UACAGAGGUCUCAAGCGUUGUUCGGAUUCAUUGGGCGUAAAGGGUGCGUAGGCGGUGAGGUAAGUCGGAUGUGAAAUCCCGGGGCUCAACCCCGGAACUGCAUUCGAUACUGCUUUACUUGAGGACUGGAGAGGAGAUUGGAAUUCACGGUGUAGCAGUGAAAUGCGUAGAUAUCGUGAGGAAGACCAGUGGCGAAGGCGAAUCUCUGGACAGAUCCUGACGCUGAGGCACGAAGGCUAGGGGAGCAAACAGG
rnacentral:rRNA from 1 species